rnacentral:rRNA from 1 species
UACGAAGGGGGCUAGCGUUGCUCGGAAUCACUGGGCGUAAAGGGUGCGUAGGCGGGUCUUUUAAGUCAGAGGUGAAAUCCUGGAGCUCAACUCCAGAACUGCCUUUGAUACUGAAGAUCUUGAGUUCGGGAGAGGUGAGUGGAACUGCGAGUGUAGAGGUGAAAUUCGUAGAUAUUCGCAAGAACACCAGUGGCGAAGGCGGCUCACUGGCCCGUUACCGACGCUCAGGCGCGACAGCGUGGGGAGCAAACAGG